rnacentral:tRNA from 1 species
GUUAAUGUAACUCAGUGGUAGAGUGCUUUCCUAGCAUCCAAGGCCCUGAGUUCAAUCCCCAGCACCACA